GAUGAACGCUGGCGGCGUGCCUAAUACAUGCAAGUCGAACGACCGGACGAGAAGCUCGUUCCUCUGCUGUUAGCGGCUGACGGGCGAGUAACACGUAGAUCACCUACUUCUAAGUCUGGGAUGAUUUCGGAAAAAAACAGCUACUACUACAUCAUACUAUGUACCGCUUGGUUCAAAAGUGAAUGACGCCCUUGCUGACACUUAUAGACGAUUUCGCGUUGCAUUAGCUAGUUGGUAAGGUAACGGCUCACCAAGGCAACGAUGCAUAGCUGACCUGAGAGGAUGAUCAGCCACACUGGAACUGAGACACGGUCCAGACUCCUACGGGAGGCAGCAGUGGGGAAUCUUCGACAAUGGGCGAAAGCCUGACCGAGCAACACCGCGUGAGUGAUGAAGGUCUUCGGGUCGUAAAGCUCUUUUAUUAGGAAAGAACAGAUGUGGGUUUAACCGUGCAUAUCUUGACGGUACCUAAUCAGAAAGCCACGGCUAACUACGUG
rnacentral:rRNA from 1 species